CCAUGUAGGUCAGUUGGAGGCUUUCAAUUUAAUCAUGUUGCUAACUCCUUCCAUCUAGUCCAGACAACAAACCAAAUGCUCUGAUACCAUUUGUAAGUGUUUGGAGAUGGAUACGGAAUGCGAAAGCAAUCUGUAGGAUCAAUAUAAGCAGACUAGGCAAUGUCACAAACACCUUAUAGGCACAAAAAUAAGUAAACCUUCACAAGGGCAUAAUAAUGAAGCAAACAACCAUAAUCCAAGCAAGUAAUAAUCUCACAAGAUAGAGCCAAGCAAAUCACACAAGGAGAUAACAAAUUUAUGUGGAAACCCCCACAAGAUUGGGGAAAAAAACCAAGGGGCCAACCAACGAGGAAUCCACUAUAUCAACAAGCAAAUACCAGAGUUCUUCUCAAGUUUUGUCCAAAAGAAAAACUUGAUAAAAUAGAGGGAGAUACAGAGAUUACCUAACUAAGAUGAAAAAUUCUAGUCCCUCACCACAUCAAGGCCUUCCAAAGGAUACCCACUUGGAAGAGCAUAAAGAGUAAUCCCAAUCUCCGGAACUAUGGUGGAGCACAAGAGAAAGGCAAGACCAGCAGCUUCUUCCUCUUCUUUCCUUCCUUCCUCUUCUCUUUUCUUUUUUUCUCUUUUGAAGCCUCAGCCCCUUCUCUGCUGUAUGAGAAAUUAAGGGGUAAAACCCCAUCCAUCGGCUGCCAUCUUUAGUUGGGCACGUGACCAGCACAAGCCCAAAGUUGGGCUAGCUGGAAGAAAAUAAGGCCCAAAUGGGCCCAAGACCAACAAACUCUUUCCCCAUCGCAAGGCAUGCUAGGAAACUUCAAAGGGAAUACCCAGCCUAAAAAGCUUAAGCUAUUAUUGUGGUAGCAAGGGCAACAAAUAAUAUCGGAGCAGAUUUUAUAUAAAUGAUUAUUUUUAAGAAA
rnacentral:lncRNA from 1 species